rnacentral:rRNA from 1 species
ACUGAGACACGGUCCAGACUCCUACGGGAGGCAGCAGUGGGGAAUAUUGCACAAUGGGCGCAAGCCUGAUGCAGCCAUGCCGCGUGUAUGAAGAAGGCCUUCGGGUUGUAAAGUACUUUCAGUCGUGAGGAAGGCGGUGUCGUUAAUAGCGGCAUCGUUUGACGUUAGCGACAGAAGAAGCACCGGCUAACUCCGUGCCAGCAGCCGCGGUAAUACGGAGGGUGCGAGCGUUAAUCGGAAUUACUGGGCGUAAAGCGCAUGCAGGUGGUUUGUUAAGUCAGAUGUGAAAGCCCGGGGCUCAACCUCGGAAUAGCAUUUGAAACUGGCAGACUAGAGUACUGUAGAGGGGGGUAGAAUUUCAGGUGUAGCGGUGAAAUGCGUAGAGAUCUGAAGGAAUACCGGUGGCGAAGGCGGCCCCCUGGACAGAUACUGACACUCAGAUGCGAAAGCGUGGGGAGCAAACAGGAUUAGAUACCCUGG